UACCAGCACCCCGAGUGGUCGGGACGUUUAUUGGGCCUAAAGCAUCCGUAGCCGGUUCUACAAGUCUUCCGUUAAAUCCAGCUGCUUAACAGAUGGGCUGCGGAAGAUACUAUGGAGCUAGGAGGCGGGAGAGGCAAGCGGUACUCAGUGGGUAGGGGUAAAAUCCUCUGAUCCAUUGAAGACCACCAGUGGCGAAGGCGGCUUGCCAGAACGCGCUCGACGGUGAGGGAUGAAAGCUGGGGGAGCAAACCGG
rnacentral:rRNA from 1 species